UUGGAGGGCAAGUCUGGUGCCAGCAGCCGCGGUAAUUCCAGCUCCAAUAGCGUAUAUUAAAGUUGUUGCAGUUAAAAAGCUCGUAGUUGAAUUUCGGGAUCAAUAUAUCGGUCGUGCCUUGGUACGUACUGGUAUCAUUGGUUUCUCCUUUCUGACGAACCAUGAUGUCAUUAAUUUGGUGUUAUGGGAAGUUAGGACUGUUACUUUGAAAAAAUUAGAGUGUUUAAAGCAGGCUUUAGCUUGAAUACAUUAGCACGGAAUAAUGAAAUAGGACGUUCGAACCUAUUUUGUUGGUUUCUAGGAUCAACGUAAUGAUUAAUAGGGAUAGUUGGGGGCAUUAGUAUUCAAUUGUCAGAGGUGAAAUUCUUGGAUUUAUUGAAGACUAACUACUGCGAAAGCAUUUGCCAAGGAUGUUUUCAUUAAUCAAGAACGAAAGUUAGGGGAUCGAAGACGAUCAGAUACCGUCGUAGUCUUAACCAUAAACUAUGCCGACUAGGGAUCGGAUGAUGUUAAUUUUUUAAUGACUCAUUCGGCGCCUUACGGGAAACCAAAGUGUUUGGGUUC
rnacentral:rRNA from 1 species